rnacentral:piRNA from 1 species
UAACGAGGUUGAAGUCCAGGGUGUCGCACA